GACGAACGCUGGCGGCGUGCUUAACACAUGCAAGUCGAACGGAAAGGCCCUGCUUUUGUGGGGUGCUCGAGUGGCGAACGGGUGAGUAACACGUGAGUAACCUGCCCUUGACUUUGGGAUAACUUCAGGAAACUGGGGCUACUACUGGAUAGGAGCUCCUGCUGCAUGGUGGGGGUUGGAAAGUUUCGGCGGUUGGGGAUGGACUCGCGGCUUAUCAGCUUGUUGGUGGGGUGGUGGCUUACCAAGGCUUUGACGGGUAGCCGGCCUGAGAGGGUGACCGGCCACAUUGGGACUGAGAUACGGCCCAGACUCCUACGGGAGGCAGCAGUGGGGAAUAUUGCACAAUGGGCGGAAGCCUGAUGCAGCAACGCCGCGUGCGGGAUGACGGCCUUCGGGUUGUAAACCGCUUUCGCCUGUGACGAAGCGUGAGUGACGGUAAUGGGUAAAGAAGCACCGGCUAACUACGUG
rnacentral:rRNA from 1 species